UAGGUUUCUUUUGUAGAUCACUAUGUCACAUAAAAUACAAAACCCAUAGCAUAAACAAGCUGACAGUUAUGAAUGUUUAAUGUGGUCUCAUUGGAAAUUAAACAAGUUAUACUAGUCUUCUCAAGUAGUCAAAUUCAAGAUGCAUCAUCAUCUCCUAGUUAGUACAAGUCACUGCCAUUUCUAUAACAAAGUAAUGAAGGCACAGCUAGUGCAAGCAGACUUAAACCCGUUCAGACUACUGGGCUGAAAAAUACUUUGGUUGGUUCUUCAGGAGAGAGCUUUCUCUAAACAAAUAUUGGUCUCGGUUAACAGUUCUGAUAAUCUUCACAGCUGCAGUCUAAUAGCUACAUGACAAAGACUUCACAAGAACCAAACUAUGUAGCAAUGAAUUAACAUUCAUGCUUUAGGGGAUUUACUGCAAUCUACAUAUUGGCAGAAAAUUAUACUGUUAAAAUGUUAGGUAGAUUGAACCUACAUUUUAAACUGGUUCUUAUGUGUUUGAUUCCAUUUUUUAACAAAUUGGUUACUUAAUUCUACCAAGAUACAAAACAUAAGGCUGUAAGUAACUAAUAGUUGUGUUUAGGCUAUUACAGUGCAGGUAAUCCUCAAGGCCACAUACACACUGCUUCACUGCUGCUUGCAUUCUGCUGGGUUUUGAUCCUUUUUUGGGUCAAAAUCAGGAUCAUUUUCUUCAUCUGCUUCUUCUUCCCCCUCCUCAUCAUCUGCCUCUUCACCUUCUUCAUCAUAAUCAUCAUCAUCAUCUUCAAUAGCUUCUCCUGUGAAGUACAAUACUGAUCGGGGGACUAUACGCUCACGUAAGAAAUGACCUAUUUCAAAGUCCGCAGCAAGGAUUGCCUCAGCGUCAUCAUCCAGGUCUCCACUUUCAGGAACUUCAGGGGGACUAAAGAAGUUGAAGAAGGAAUCGUUGGAAACAGUUUUUGUCACUGUUCUAACUGUCCCACGACCCUUGUGUUUCUGCUUCUUUUUAAUUGUUUUCAAAGUAACAUUCUUGCCUUUUUUCCAGUCUAUUUGGCAGCCCGUACAGCCCAUGAUUUCUGGUCCAUCAAAGGAAAAGGGAUCAGAAUCAUCUGGCUCUGAUCUCAUUCUAUACGUCUUUGUCAACACUUCAUUUGUGAAGUAGUCAUUUGGUUCAAAGUGAAAUUCUAAUGUGAAACUCAUAGGCUGUCCAACUUCUGAGAAUUUCACUUUUAUAUCUUUUAAGUGUUUCAGGAUAGGUUCAUCAUGUUCCUGAACCAUAUCACUGAGCAAGUCCACAUUCUUGAAUACUGUCAGCCAAAAUUCAGGAAUUCCUUUAGGGUCUUCUUUUUCUUCAUCUUUCUUUUCUUCUUCAAGUUUGGCUUUCUCUUUCAUUUCCUCUGAAAUUUCUUCUUCGGCAUCUGCUUUCCAUUCACAUUCUUCCUCUGUAGGUUCAUAGAUUGCAUUGAUGAUCUCGCUUCGCUUGUCAAAUAAGGGCUGAUAGAGAGCAGCAUAUUUUCUUUCCAGCUCAUGAACUUCCUCAUAGAACUUUGCUUCUAUCUGUGCACACUGAACUUGAAGAUUCUUGAGGGCAUUCACACGUCUUUUAACAACUUUAGGCAAGCUCUCUAUAUAUCCUGUAGAUGUUCCUACCAGACCAUCAAGUCUUUCCUGAAGAGCUGCAAGAAUCUGAGGAUUUUGCAUCAUCUGUACAGUCAACUGCCGAGCUUUGCUGUUGGCAUCUUCACCAGUUUCUUCUUCUUCUACAUCUUCCACAUCUUCCAUAUCUUGUUGAUCAAGUUCAGACUGUUCUUUGUUGUCAAUGUCUGCCAUUCUCAGAUUUCAAACCCUGCGCGGGCCGGGACCGGCGGUGACUCAGGAGCGAGGCGGAGGCGCCGCGCGGCUGGCGGUAAAAAGACCCGAGCUCCCGCCGCUCGCGCUCAUAUAGAAUUAACGUCACCACGUCACCCCCCUCCCCCUCCUCCGCGCGCCCCGGUCUCCUGGCAACACGCGCGCGCCCUCUUCGCGCUCCCGCCCGCCGGGCGCGCGCAGGCCGUUGGCCGAGGCGGUUGUGGCCGGGCCUGCCCUGCCCUGCCCUGCUCUGAUCUGUUGUGCUCUGAUCUGCUCGGCCCGGCCCGGCCCGGCCCGACGGCGCCGAGGCGAGGCCCGAGCCGAGGCGGUGCCGGGUGCGCGGCGCUCCCCUCAGAGCGCCUGUUGUUCUUUGUGCCGCUGCGCGCCGGGCCGGGGCGUCCGGAGGCACCGAAGAGCGGUGCUCUGUCACGCGGGGCGGGUUCGCUGGAGCAGGUAAAAGCCUGAGCACAAAGGCUGCGGUGCCGCAAACCGCAGCCAGCAGCAGCUUGCCUCGAAGGGCCGCGCCGAGCUGCGGUGCGUGAACGCCGCUUCAUCGCUUUCGGCCUUGGCCGGGAUGGGCGGCCGGGGGCAACCGGAGCGCAGCCCUCCGGUCCUAACCUGCCCCGCUGCCACGGGGCGCACAGCCGUGCUCCUACGGCACCUGACUCCGAGCGGAGCCUCGAUGGCAUCAACUGCUUCCUUCUGGGGCUUCUCUUCCACGUGUGUGGACUUGAGCAACACGGCAUCUCUUGGCACGCUUGCAGGGUGCAUCCAUAAUCUGCUCUAAACUGGUCAUCCGUGAGCCUCUUAGCUUCUCUCGGCUGGGACGAGCCGAUGAGUUCAGCCAUUACCGGGGGCAGACGGGAUGGAUGGCACAAGAGGGCGAUGGCACAAGAGCUGUAAGGAUAUAUCACUUAUCAGGUGUUCCCUACGUUGUACUGAAUUCUGGCACCUGUCUAGUUUGCAGUCUAAACGGAGCUUUGUAAAUGAUGGAAGUUGCAACAGACAGCAAAAGAAGAAAGUCGUGGAUCUGCCUGAUAGCUACAGUGCCAUCUCGAUUGCAAAGGAUAAGGGAUCCUUUCUUCACUGUGCAGUGCCACACCAGUUUUGCUGAAGUAUAUUCCAGUGAAAUCUCAGGCCCCAAAAGCAGGCGUCUCCAUGGUAAAAAUAAAUAUAUAUAUUUAUAUAUGCAAUCUUCAAGAGCAAGGUUCAUGCAGAAGGUGCAGGGGUACGCUGCUCCCCAACACACUGGGGAGCACACAGUUUGCCAUAGGAAGAAACCACAGAAAUGAACGGAGUCAGAGGAAGGGUCCAGGCAAAAGGCUGUGCAGUGUAGUCUAAGUGAGAGACAGAUUCAGAUAACGUGUGGUUCUAAAACAGAAGUACCUGUCGCCUCUUUUAGCUUCAAUUUUAAAAUCACACCAGUUGCUAAUUUGCUUUUCUGAGGUGUCCAGUGCUGGUUAAUAUGAAGAGAACAGAGAUGUACAGAAGGCAUUUAAUAAAAAUCAGCAAUUGAUUGCUAUUUAUUGCAACACUGAUUAUGUUUCAUUGCAGACAUUCCCUUUAUGCAAUCAGCUAAAGUGGCAAUCAGCUGUAAACAAACGAUGCAGGAAGGGUUAGAUUCACAGGAAGGCUGGCCUGGCUUGUUUUCCUGCAGCCUGCACCUUGUGACUUGCAGAGCACUGAGGUGAGCCCCAGCGACCCCUCUAAGGAGUGGGGUACAUUAGAGAUGAGAUGCACAAAAGCCAGAAGCGUUGAGCAGAGAUUAAGCUAGCUGACAGCAGGGGUCAAGGAGUGAGGACAGGUCUAAGCCCUCAAAAGAGAUUGUAACUUAGCUCUAGGCUGGAGGGAAAGGCCUUUUCAUCCAAAACUCAGAGCUGAGUAUUGCCUCACUAUUGCAGAGAAAGGGAAAGGAGUUCAAAUCACCCGAGAAUGCAUUAGUUGCCAGUGCAGGUUUUCUUACAUCUUGUAAGUAAACUUUUUUAAAGCUUUAAUACACAUCUGUGAGAAACGUGCAGGUGUGGGCAUUGAAUGCACAGAGACACAGUGAAAAGCUUUGGUAGGAGACACUCCCUGUAGUGUGGCUGCUAGGGCAGGGCUCCUGGGGAUAGUGACUUGAGGUGAAAUCACUGGUGCAAAUCAGAAGAGGAGUUUGAACUGUCUCAUCCACAUGCUGCUUGAGUAUCUUACUCACGGAGCUAUUCAAUAUCAGGGAAUCUGAUCUGUCCCUUGAGUACACAGACCUUAUCAGUUGUGCUCACUUUUGAGCCCUUCCCUCUGCAGCUUGCAUCACUUACUUGCAUGUUUGCUGUGGGUAGAGGCUCAGAGCAGCGCUUGUCUCUAGGCAGAGACCAUGAGAACUCUUGGGGACAGAGCAUGAGCAUGGGUUUGUACCUGGAGGGGCCUGGAGAAUGUCAGGCUCUGAAGCUUUUGCAGAAGGCCAUCAGUAUUUGUGUAACAGCCUGUCGCUACAAAUGGGUUUGACUCUCGCAUCCAGGCUCAGUCCUCCUGAGCAUGGUGUGCAUCCUAUGUCCUUGAACUGCAGUCAGGCUAUAGCAAAGCUAAAGCUACACUGCUUUAGCUAAGGAAAAUGUGUUGGUCAUGGAGCUCAGAUCUGAUCAAGAGCUCCCUUGUGAUAGGGGCCUCUUUAUCAUUUAAACUGUUUUCAGCCCCUCAUACUAGCAGAAAUAUGCCAAGUUCUUUAGAAUGGUCCCAGACCUGAUUACAUGGAUACCUCGUUACCCCUUCUGAGUGCUAGGCUCACCUGGCACCCACCAAAGGCUCAGUUUUAAGGACUCGGGCACUGCUCGGCACUGAAAACCUGUGACACAAGAAAGGCUGUGACCACAUGUUCACUUCUGACCUUAGCUGAUUUCAGGUCAGCUCACUGCAACGGUUCUACACUGCACUGAUUGCCCAAGGUUACCCUCUCUGCAAACCAGCUGGCAGUGCACCUCAUGUGAGCGCUGAGCUACAGUGAGGGAUGGUGUGAAUGCUCCUUCUCUGCUUCUGACUGUGGCAGCCGGUUUAGUUACAAUCACCAUGGAAUUUAUCAUCAGCCACUGAAAAUGAGAACGUGCUCACUGAACUAUUUACAGAGCAAAAAGCCUAAGGCCCCCCAGGUGCCACAAAGAAAUGCCUUCUCCUCGGUACCAUUUCAAACCCAAUGAAAUUUGGUGCAGAAGUACUAGAUUUACUGGUGCGCAAUGAAAACAGUUAACCCCAAAUAUUGCUUAUAAAACACUGGAUUGCAAGAAGCAUUUUUUUUCAGCUCUUACAGAAUGACAAUUCCAAAUUACAUGGCUAGCCAAUAAAUGAUACAGUACAAAGCUGUUGUUAUCUCUUCCAUGUACUUUUUAUUUUUUGAGGAACUACUUGUUUUGUAAAGGAAAGUACGUAAUCCCAGAAAGCAAGUGGUAGCUUUUAAACAGUGCCACAGACAGCAUAGAAAGUUCUGCUGAACUAUCACAUGGUAAGUCAUGCAAAUCCCUGCACAGAGCUCAAUGAAUACCUCUCACUGAUUUCUGUUUUGCACUUGCUUCUGCUUUUGUGGAACGAGAGCGGGUUUUUCCCUAGGGAAUGUAUUUUCCGGCAGGGUAGCAGCAAACUGAAGAAAUCCAUUGUAGGUAACCUUUGAGAUACUGUAAUAAAUGGCAAAGAAAGAUGACAUGCUUUGGGAAAAAAUCAAAUGCUGAAAUGUGAUUAUACACUUUUUGACAUAAUAAACCUUCAGCACCUUUCAUUCCUUAAUAUUUUUAACUCUCCAGGGAUUAAAUCGUGACUCUUGUCUUACAUUAUAGGGAUUGCUCACAGAUCCAGCAGGUAUAAAUCAAAAGUAGCAGGAAAAAAACCUACAAGACAGCUGCUGAAAUAGGGGUACAGUGUGGAGUGAUACUGCGGAAAAAAAGUAAAUGGUAGAGAUAUAUUGAAAUCAGUGACAAUAUGGAUGGACAAGUACUUCAGAGGUACUACAGAAGUUAAAAUGUCAAGGACAGUGUACCUGGUGUUUUUAGGCCCAUUGCUGGGGGAUAAAAAUUACUGCUUUUAUUGUUUUUUUUUAAUAUUGUGCUCACCAUGAAAUAAUUCUGUCUGAAAAAGUGA
rnacentral:lncRNA from 1 species